GGGAGAAAGAGAAGAGACAGCAAUAGAAGUAACCAGCAUUUGCUAAUUGCUUGCCAUGUGCCAGGUGCUUUACCCAAUCACUGCAUGUAUAGCUCCCAAUGACUCUGCGAGGUAAAUAUUGUAAUAGCCACUUUAUAUAGGAAGAAAAAUGAAGGCACUGAGACCUUAAGUAACCACCUCCAAAGCUGGGAUUUAAACUUACAUCUUGGAUUCGGAGGCCUGUAUUCAUUCCACUACACAUGUUGUUCCUUAUGAAUCAGGGCCGAAUGUGACAACUCCUGGGGGAGACGCUACAGGAAGGUACAAGAGGAAGAGAAGAGAUUGCCCCUUGUCUGAUGGUAAAGGCACAUGACAGGGGUAGGUGUUAGAGGUCAGGAAGGUUUAUGUUUGACAGAAAUGGAGGGCGGAAAAAAUUGCACAAGCAGAGCAAAAUAAGAGAGGCAGAAAAUUCAGUACAUACUUCGUGCCCAGUGGAACUGUGGGCCAUAAGGCUGCAAAGUGGUGC